GACCGCGUAGCUCAGUUGGAAGAGCAUUAAUUGGGCUAGUGUUCCAAAUGUCGUAGGUUCGAAUCCUGCCGUGCCA